GAUGAAGAACGUAGCGAAAUGCGAUAAGUAAUGUGAAUUGCAGAAUUCAGUGAAUCAUCGAAUCUUUGAACGCACAUUGCGCCCGCCAGCAUUCUGGCGGGCAUGCCUGUUCGAGCGUCAUUUCAACCCUCAAGCUCUGCUUGGUGUUGGGGCCCUACGGUUGACGUAGGCCCUUAAAGGUAGUGGCGGACCCUCUCGGAGCCUCCUUUGCGUAGUAACUAACGUCUCGCAUUGGGAUUCGGAGGGACUCUUGCCGUAAAACCCCCAAAUUUUCUAAUGGUUGAUCUCGGAUCAGGUAGGAAUACCCGCUGAACUUAAGCAUAUCAAUAAGCGGAGGA
rnacentral:misc_RNA from 1 species